AAGCCAACAUCAGCUAGGUGCAGUGGCUCAUAUCUAUAACCCUAGCACUUUAGGAAGCCAAGGCAGGAGGAUCGCUUGAGCUCAGGAGUUUGAGACAAGCCUGGGCAACAUAGUGAGGCCUUGUCUCUACCAAAAAAAAAAAAAAAGUUUUAAUUAGCCAGAUAUGGUGGCACGUGCCUGCAGUCCCAGCUACUCAGGAGGCUGAGGCAGGAGGAUCGGAGAAUUGCUUGAACCCAGGAGGUGGAGGUUGCGGUGAGCCAAGAUCGUAUUAUUGCACUCCAGCCUGGGCAACAAGAGGGAAACUCCAUCUCAAAAACAAAACAAAACAAAACAGAAAAUAUUAAACUGAGACCGAAGCUCCUGCCCACUGAAGGUAAAACCAAGUUUGUAAUUUGAAUUUAACCAAGUGAAUUGUCUGCUAAAGGAAAAAGAUUAGCCUUUCUCUGAGGAAUUAAAUAGAACCUAGAGUCUCCUCAACAUAACCUUCAAAAUACUCAGGAUAUGAUCCAAAAUUACUAAGCAUACAAAGAACCAGGAAAACAUGACCCAUUCUCAAGGUUAAAGCAAACAACAGAGGCUAAUCUCAAGGUAACUUGGAUGUUGGAAUAAUCAGACAAGGAUUUUAAGGCAACUACUAUCAUUAUGCUGAAGAAUAUAAAGAAAAACACACACAUAAUGAACAGAUAGGAAGCCACAGCCAAAAAUUACAAAAUAUUAAAAAGAACAAAAUGGGAAUUUUAGAACAAAAAUACGUAGAAUAAAAAAUUCACUGGCUGUGUUCAGUGCAGUGCACCUGUAAUCCUAGUUACUCAGGAAGCUGAGGUGGGGGGAUCACAUGAGCCUACAAGUUUGAGACCAGCCUGGGCAACAUAGCAAGACCCCAUCUCCAAAGAAAAACAAAAAAUUAACUGGAUGUGCUUAAUGACCGUUCCAUCAUCUCAGUGGAAAGAGCAAAUGAACUUGAAGAGAGAUCAAUGGAACAUUGGAAAGAAAAAGAGAUAACCAAGCCUCAGAGACCUGUGGAACAAUAUGAAAAUGUCUAAUGUAUGGAUAAUUGGAAUUUCAGAAGGAGAAAAAAAAAGAAAUGAGACAAAAAAAUAUACUUAGAAGCUUUUGGGGAGGUCCACAGAUGGGUUCAUAGAAUUCACAGUGUAAGGGUAAGGAUUUGGCUAAGGCAGAAAAUAUGACAGCACUUG
rnacentral:lncRNA from 1 species